rnacentral:lncRNA from 1 species
AAUGGAUGAAGAUUUUAGAUCCAGGCAUGGCGUCUGUAUUGUUCUGCAGGACUCUGCUGAGGGAACAGAGCCAGUCAAAGCCACUGCGUUUCCACCUGGAUUUAAAAGACAGUCCUGAGGACCAAGAAAGAUCCAUUUUGUCUUUUUACAAGGCAAAGGGAUUGAACUGGGCUGCUCCACUAAAGUGCAUAUUAGAAGGAGAUGCUGCAAUUGGUGAUGGGGUCAAUAGACACCUCCUGAGUUUGACUAUUGAGAAGUUGAGGACUGGUUUUUCUCUCAAUUUUGGUGUAGCAGAUAUAACACUCCUGUUUGAGGGUGAACAGGAUCACCUUGUUCCAUGCUGCAGUCAAACUCUGCUCGAUAGCGACUUAUUUGUUGUUGCUGGUCGCAUGAUUGGCCACUCAUUUCUUCACGGUGGCCCUCUGCUUCCUGGGAUUAGCCCUGCCAUAAUCUAUGUGUUGGUGGGUGGUGCCACUGAGACUGCAGAGAUUCAUCUGAAGGACUGUCCUGAUUUGAAUCAGAGGCAUACUAUCCAAUUGCUGGAAGGUAAUCGUCCCAUUUCUGAGGAGGAAAGGGAGGAAAUCACGAGACUUUCUGUUAUGUGGGAUCUUCCUGGGUUUUCUGAAGACCACCGGAAAUGGCUCUUUAACAGGAUGCUGCAACAUGCUGUUUUGUAUAGGACUAAAUGUCAAGUAAAGCAGCUGAGGUGUGGAAUCAAAGAGACAAAGAUUUGGCCACUUAUCGCUGAAAGAGAAGAUGCUGUUAAAGUGCUCUUCCCAAGGGCAAGUGAUGCUGAGUAUGGCCCAGAGGUAAUUCUUCAGCACAUUGUUUGGCCUGUUGCUGAAUCAGAUGACGACGACGACAGAUUGCACCCUGAAGUUGUCACUCGCCAAAUACAGUUUCUACGUGAAUACAUUCAGAAAGCUACCACAGACCAGCUGCAAAAGCUCUUGACAUUUUGGACUGGAUGGGAGGUGCCAUCCAAGAGCCUGCAGGUUAAAGUUUGGAGAGGGAGGUUUUUCAAGGCUUCCACCUGCAGCAGGACCCUAAUGCUUCCUGCUGACAUACUUACAAUGGGUGAUUUCACUUCUACUUUGCAUGCUUGUGUAACCCAGGUUACUAAGAGCCCUGUUAAUGUAAAAUAGAAAAGGGAAUAAAACACCAUAAGACUCGUGAAUAUGUAAAUCAGCACUUUAUUUUAAUAACAUUGUGAAGUAGAAAAUGUAUAAAAUAGAAAAAAAAAAAUAAAACUAAUUUUAGGAAAAUUGGUCCAAUGAGGAGAGCGAAGAGUUAGCCCCGCCCUAUGAUCGGAGCUGUGCGAGGGAGUACGAGCGAGAACGCGCGAUGCGAGAGAAACAACAGCUGCGACACGGUCCUGAAAAAGGAAAAAACAGAAUUAGAACACAUAAAUCAGCAGUUGUGUUAAGAAAAAAAAUGUGAAUUGAACAUCAGUCGUUUAACACGAUUGAUGCUGACGCAAACUGUUAUAGAGGAGAGAGAAACUCGCAGAGGUUGGAGUGUUGCCUGUCUGAAACCUUCAUAAUUAGAAAAUUUGAAUUCUCUUGGUGAGUAAAGUGAUUAAAUCCUCAAUUAUAGAGGUUGCUUUGUAUAAAUGUUCCGUAAAAUGUGUUUAACCAUCAAAUGCUGUUGUAUUAUGUGCAGUAGUGCACAUAAGAUGUAUAAAAGCUAAUCCUCUGUUUAAAACGGGAGGAAUAUCGGGUGAAUGUGUUAAAUAACUAAUGUUCAGGUUUAAAAGUUACUUUAAGCAGUUUACAAGUGUUAUUUUGAUGGGUUUUUGUCGUGUAUUCGGCCAUGAGAGAUGGCUGAUUGUGACGCACAUGUGAUACGGGCAGAUGAGGCCUAAGCGCGCCAUUUGAAAAAUGCUCUUAGCAUGUCUAUGCAAAUUUCAAUGUGUUAAUGUUAAAUGAGCAUGGAGUUAAAUAUGUUGAAAUGUUGUUUAUUCGCAGAUUAACUGCUGUAAUGAUGUAUAUCUUGAACGGAAUGUCUAAUUGUAUUUUUGGCCUUGUCUUUUGCAAGGUUGGGUUUUUUUUCUGUCCUUCUAUCUAUCUCCCCUCUAUCUUCUAUUUUCCAUCAUCUUUUGAGUCGGGUGCAGCAUAUUUUCUGGAACCAGACGAUCGUCGAAGACGACUUUGAACUUGAACUGUCCCUGCAUUGCACUAAAAAGAGCCUGCGAGCAGGAACUGGCGAGCCAUGCCCAUAUAAGGAUCGAGCUACGUGAAUCAAGAGAGUGGUAGGAUUGUACACACCUUCCCCUCGGUUUUUUUUCCUGACUGACCUGUGUUGCUCAGAACUCAAUUGCGGAAGACGGAUCUCGUGUAAGCAGCACUGAACUGGAGCUAAAGUUUGGUGAAACCCUAAUCCACAUUGUGACUGUUAUCGUGAGCAUUAAGGUUGAUCCAUUGUUUUUCUUUUUAUUUUAUUUUUUUUUUUCUUCUCUCUAUUUUUACUCAUAUUCCACUGUCUAAUUAUUUGGUUUUAUCUUUACUUUUUGUUGUUGUUUUUCUGAAGAACAAGAGUGAAAAGGGUAUUUUAAAGAGUCAUUUGGAAGAAUUGUAUUCACAGUCAAAUUCAAAGUUAUUAUCUAUAUCAAAUAAGCCAAUUAGAACACAAAUUAAAUAAAUAGGUGAAAUAUAUAUUCUAUAUUAUUUUAUAUAUCUAUAUUCUAUAUUAGCAGAAUGAGAGUCAUUUAACUUUAUUAGGUUGAAUCUAAAUAGGUCAAAAAAUAAAUAAAUAGACAAACAAUUAAUAAAAUAGAAAAAUAAAUAAAUAGAAAUUUAAAUAUAUAAGAGUUAUAAGAAGAAUACUUUUUAUAACAGAAUUUACUUAUUUCAUUCUUUUCAUUUCUUUCCAUUUUUGACUUUUUGUUGAUUUUGAUGAUGUAUUGAAACUCUGACUUACUAUUAUUAUCAUUAUAUAUUUUUUACUUUUAUUAUUGCAUUAUUGCAUUCCCUUUAAUACACCUUACCUGUUUCUAAUGCAGCCAGUGUUGUUGUCAUUUCCUUCUACCCUUGUUGCUGACACAGUCUCUUGAGCGAAUCUGAUCUUCUGGUCGCUGGUCCAAAAUUAGAAACAGUGUAUUCCUUUUCCGCUCAUUUCCGUUAUUUACUGUUUGAGAGGGAGGGUCGCACUUGCGCCGCGACACGCGUUACAGAAAGUUGGCGAGCCAGCCAGGAGACUGUUGCUUAGCAACAAGGACAAUAGUAGGAAAGGCAGAAAACGAGAACAUUUAUUACGGAGAAAAAGUGCUGACUUUACUUUGCGAUAAUGGAAAUCAUAGAGAGAGAAAACGUGAACGUGGAAAGUGCAGUCAUAGUCAAAGGCCUCACGUUAACUGAGACAGAUAGCGAGCUAGAGACGUUCUUGCAAAAGUAUGGAUCAAUUAGACGUAAUUUGAUAAUCGAUGACCAAACUUCUGAGUUCCAUCACCAUGGUAUUGUGGAAUAUGCUCACAGCACUUCCAUGUUGAACUUAACACCAUUGUUACCCUUAACCCUGGGAAGUCUCUCAAACCCGAGUGUUACAUUCCAAGUACGAGCUCUGGCUAGUGUCUGUAAGCAGACAGCUAGUGGUACGGUCACUGAAGAGUAUCUUGAAACGUUGAAGGCCCUUGCUAGGGGAAGUGGGAAACCUUUCUUAGAUGUGCUUCAGGGGGAGUUGGAAAAGCUUCAGGAAGCCCACUCCGCCAACCGUACUCCAGUUAGAGCACAAAAUGCGAGCUUUAAUGAUUCUCAGAGUGUGGAAGCAAUCGUUCCAGAACCUGUGUGUUGUUCCCCGAUGCCCUUGUCUACCUCUGCUGAAACAUUAGAAAUGCGAACCCCAGAAUCAAAAGACCCAACCAAGAGACAGGAGGCCCCUAUGGCCUUCCCAAAUCCAGAAAAUGUUGAUUGUGUUACCGUGACUACUAACCCUACUUUUCCUGCGAGCAUUGCUGACCCACCGGGUAUUCAAAGAAUGGUAGUAGAGCACAUAGUGAAGACUGCUGAUGCCACAAUGGCACAGCAGGCCUCAGUUCCACUUAGGGUUUUCUCAGGGAGGAGCCCGCGCCCUCCAAACAAACCCGAUUUUGAUACUUGGCGAGCAAGUGUAGAUCUCCUGUUAAGUGACCCGUCGGUUUCAGACUUGCAUAGAGCGCGGAGGAUCUUAGAUAGCUUGUUGCCUCCAGCCGCAGACGUAGUGAAGCACGUGCGACCUCCAGCUUUGCCAGCAGUAUAUCUUGAGUUGCUGGAGUCAGUCUAUGGUUCUGUGGAGGAUGGUGAUGAACUGUAUUAACCAAGUUCAUGGGCACCUUACAGAAUCAGGGAGAAAAGUCAUCAGAUUUUUUGCAUCGGUUGCAAGUUAUUUUGAGCACAACGAUUAGGAGGGGAGGCAUUGCAGAGAGAGAUCAUGAUCGUUGCCUCUUGAAACAGUUCAUGAGAGGGUGUUGGGACAAUGGUCUCAUAGCCAGCCUUCAGUUAGGAAGGAGGGAAGUUCACCCACCCACCUUUGCUGAGUUGGUUGUAUUAAUCCGAACAGAGGAGGGUAAGCAUGCCUCCAAGGAAGAGCGGAUGAGAAAUUACCUUGGGUUGUCAAAAGCUCCUAAUACCUACCCAAGACCACGAGCUGCCACUCAGCAAAUAUCAGCUUAUUCCCACGAAACACCAAAUUCUAACACUUCUGAAACUGACCUCAUAAAGAAACAACUUGCGGAGGUCCAGGCCCAAGUUGCUAAUUUAGGUCAAACAACCGGCCAUAAGCAGCCGAGUGGGUCUUCUGAGAAGAUGGAACUGAGCACUUUGAGGAGGGUAGUGGAAGAUUUGCGUACUCAGGUAACCACUCUUAAAGCAUCUAUGGCCCAAGAAGUAAGGCGCGAAAAUUCAGAUGACUCAGAAAUCGUUAAGCUGCGACAACAAGUUGCUGAACUGCAGGCUCAGAAUGUUACUCAAAAGAGUUAUAGAGACUACUCCCAUGAGAAUGCUAGUCCUCGAGUUUUCCCGCCUCAGAAUUCGUUUGAGACAGACAUUAGUAGAAGUGCCAGAAGGUUCCAACCAAUGACCAAUCGGCCUCGCCCAGGAUAUUGUUUCAGAUGCGGCGAAGAUGGGCAUUUGGCCGUUGCUUGUGAUAAAGCCGCGAACCCCGCAAGGGUUGAGGAAAAGAGGCGUAAGUUGAGGGAGCAGCAGGCUCAUUGGGACUCGCUGCAUGGUCAUUCCCCUUUGCCUUUAAACUAAGGGAAGUCUCUGUAGCGGGGCAUACAGAGACGAGGUGUAAAAGUAUCCGCCCUAAAUGUUACAGGCAAGAGCCUGUUACGAACAGUUGUCAUAAGCCACCGCUUAAAAGCCUGCCGAAGGGGUUAGUAGGGGUUAAGUGCACUGCGCAGAUCAUUAUUGAUGGAAAAGAAGUAGAUUGCCUCCUAGACACAGGGUCUCAGGUCACUACAGUUCCCCAGUCAUUCUAUGAGGCACAUUUGUCUGAUUACCCGCUGAAGUCAUUAGAAAAUUUGUUGGAAGUGGAGGGAGCCAAUGGGCAAGUUGUCCCAUACUUGGGGUACACUGAACUGACUUUAAAGUUUCCUAGAGAGUUCAUUGGCGUUGAAGUCGAGGUCCCCACGUUAGCUUUAAUAGUUCCAGAUCUAAAGAGUCUGUCGCAAGUUCUUGUUGGAACCAACUCCCUGGAUGUGCUUUACAGCCAUUGCAUUAAGGAAAGUGCGAGUAGCCCUUGUUCGAGUCUCCACGGAUAUCAGGCCGUGCUUAAAGUCCUUGAGGCAAGGUGGAAGCAAACUAGCAGUGCAGCAUUAGGACAAGUGAAGCUGGUAGGGAAUCUUCAUGAAGUUGUGCCUGCCGGGAGCACGGUAGUUCUGAAUGGAUACG